ACCAAACAUAUAGCUGCGCUCUCUCUCACAUCUCUGAGAAAUCUGCCCUGCUGGUCAACUCUCUGUUAGAUCCAAAUCGAUAUUGUGUUUCUAAACGAGCUGAGGCCCUGGUUUUCUUUCCAACUACCUUGGGCCAUGGAAGCUGCAGCCGUGCAAGCAACUGUUCCAGCCAUCGGAGAGGUCAUCAAGCUCUCCUUUUGUUUUGUUUGCAGCCGCGGAGAUUAUUUCGCUGAACUGGAAGACAAUCUC
rnacentral:misc_RNA from 1 species